rnacentral:rRNA from 1 species
AUGGCGGGCUUGACCAGCGACAGCGAUGAUAAUGAUAAGUUUGAGUGGGAAAGUGAUGGUGAGGUUGCGCCCUCAUCAGCUCCGGCCUUGAGGAACUUGGAUGCUCCUGGCCCGUCCACACUGGUACGUCAGAAUUCUAACGGGUGGGCCAACGGGGAAGCAACGUCUACUUCUUUAGUCGAGGAAUAUGUGACAAUGGGUUUCCCAAAAGAGAUGGUUGUGAAGGGCAUUAAGGAGAUUGGGCACAAUGAUGUAAAUGCGUUGCUAGAGCUACUUCUCACAUAUAAGGCACUAGGUGAUGAAGGUGCAUUGGGUGAUUGCUCUACUUCUGGCUGCGCCUGCCCAAAUGUUCAAGAUGAUGAUGAUGAUGAUCUUGAUUCCGAUAACUGGGAUAACGACAAUGAUACUGGUGGUAGAGAGCACAACUCUGAUAGUUCUGGUGAUGAGGAUUUUCUAAAAGAGAUGUCAGCGAAGGACGAGAAGAUAAACUUAUUAGUAGACAUGGGCUUUUCUGAAGAUGAAGCCAGUAUGGCUAUGACAACAUGUGGUGUGGAUGCUGAUCUCUGUGUAUUAGUUGAUUCGAUCAGUGCAUCACGGGUUGCAGGAGAUUGCCAUUCCACAAACUUAUGUGACGAUCAGGUUAUGGAUAGAUGCUUUGAUUCCUUUGGAGAGAGAAAGAAAACAAGAUUGAUGGAAGAGCGCAAGAAAAAGAGGAAGCGAUAUGGAGGUGGAGCACAUGGCAAUCGAUCUUCCUUGGAUGGUAGCGAUGAUGAACCAAUGCUUCUCCCAAAUCCAAUGGUUGGAUUUAACCUGCCCGGUUAUAGGCGGCCAUCAGUGAUGAGAAUGCUUCCUCAACAAGCUAUUGGACCACCUUUUUUCUACUAUGAAAAUGUGGCCCGAACUCCAAGAGGUGUAUGGGAGACCAUUUCAAGAUUUCUGUAUGACAUUGAACCAGAGUUUGUGGAUUCUAUGCAUUUGUCUGCAGCUGCAAGGAAAAGAGGCUACAUCCAUAAUUUGCCAAUUGAGAACAGAUCACCUCUUCUUCCUCUGCCUCCAAAGACCAUAUUUGAGGCAUUUCCUCAUUAUAAGAAGUGGUGGCCUUCUUGGGACCCGAGAAGACAACUCAAUUGCUUGCAAACAACUGUGGCAAGUGCAAAGACGACCGAGCGGAUCCAGAGUCUUCUUGCAAGGUCAGGCAAUUCACCACCUCCAAGUGUUCAGAAAUAUGUCAUUGAUGAGUGCAGAAAAUGGAAUCUUGUCUGGGUUGGAAAAAACAAGGUUGCUCCGUUGGAGCCUAAUGAGGUGGAAUAUCUACUUGGUUUCCCAAGGGACCACACAAGAGGGGUCGGCAAGACAGAGAGAUAUAAAUCUCUUGGCAACUCAUUCCAUGUUGAUACUGUUGCUUACCAUUUGUCGGUGCUGAGGGACAUGUUUCCUAAUGGUGUUAGUGUGCUGUCCUUAUUCACCGGUAUUGGAGGAGGAGAGGUAGCUUUGCACAGGCUUGGGAUCCACAUGAGGGCAGUGGUUUCUGUUGAGAUAGGUGAAGCUAAUAGGAGGAUUUUGAGGGGUUGGUGGGAUCAGACCCAGACAGGCACGCUGAUUGAGAUUGCUGAUGUGAAAUCUCUCACACCUGAUAUAAUUGCAUCAUACGUUGGUAGAUUUGGCGGCUUCGACUUGGUGAUUGGGGGCAGCCCAUGUAACAAUCUUGCCGGGAGCAACCGACACCACCGUGAUGGCUUGGAGGGCGAGCAAUCUUCUUUGUUCUACCACUACUUCAGAAUCUUGGAUGUCGUCAAGUCGGCUAUGGCGAGGAUGUAG